AGAUCUGAUUGUGUUGCGUAAGGAUGACUGAUUGAUCCCACAACAUGUGUUUUUCCACAUUAGUCUACAGUGGCGAGUCUAGCUUUGAGUUUCCAUAUAUACAUUGGGAACUCUGUUUAGAGAGCUCUAGUUGGUUGCAUUGGUCUAUCUGUUGCCAUACCUAUACCACAUCAAUUUGUUAUUUCACUAUGCUUUGGGAUGUGGUAGAAAAGUCUCCCAACUGGUCUUCACUAGAGACUAUUGGCUGGUCUCAACUUCUGCUCUGCACAAAAGGAUGUACUGUCACGUUCCAGGGAAAUCCCCAAGAGAAUGGGGAUUUUAUUGAAUAUGUCCAUCAAUACAGGAACUAUCAUUUCUCCCGUCAUAAAGGUUGCUACCCAGGUCCAUUUCCUAGAUCCUCGUUAAUCUAUUUUUAAUAAAGUUUGUUAUUUUCUCCACAAACCAUUUUCACAUUUUUUUUCUCCACAAACCAUUUUCACAUUUUCUGCUUGGAUUUCCCUCUACAGAGCAUCUCUUAGUGUUUCUAAAGUGUGCUAGAACACACACUUGGAUUCCUUGGGUCUUGUGAGGGAGUUUCCCUGUCUGAUGGAGGCCUGAGUUUUUAUCAGAAGAUGAACACUAGGACACCCCUUCCUCCA
rnacentral:lncRNA from 1 species